GAUGAACGCUGGCGGCGUGCCUAAUACAUGCAAGUCGAGCGAACAGAUGAGGAGCUUGCUCCUCUGACGUUAGCGGCGGACGGGUGAGUAACACGUGGAUAACCUACCUAUAAGACUGGGAUAACUUCGGGAAACCGGAGCUAAUACCGGAUAAUAUAUUGAACCGCAUGGUUCAAUAGUGAAAGACGGUUUUGCUGUCACUUAUAGAUGGAUCCGCGCCGCAUUAGCUAGUUGGUAAGGUAACAGCUUACCAAGGCAACGAUGCGUAGCCGACCUGAGAGGGUGAUCGGCCACACUGGAACUGCGACACGGUCCAGACUCCUACGGGAGGCAGCAGUAGGGAAUCUUCCGCAAUGGGCGAAAGCCUGACGGAGCAACGCCGCGUGAGUGAUGAAGGUCUUCGGAUCGUAAAACUCUGUUAUUAGGGAAGAACAAAUGUGUAAGUAACUAUGCACGUCUUGACGGUACCUAAUCAGAAAGCCACGGCUAACUACGUG
rnacentral:rRNA from 1 species